AUACAGUCCAGGCCACAAAGACGGCAACUCCUAGAGACAGAUGAACUGAGACUUACUGGCUUCAGCAAGUAUCAAACCAUCCAGGAAAACGUGACCUCACCAAAUAUACUGAAUGAACUAAGGCAUCAGGGACCAAUCUUGGAGAAACAGAGAGAUAUGUGACCUGCCAGACAGCGAAUUCCAGUAGCUCUGUUGAGGAAACUCAAAGUAAUUCAAGAUAACACAGGGAAGGAAUUCAGAAUUCUAUCAGAUAAAUUCAUUAAAGAGAUUGAAAUAAAAAGAAUCAAGUAGAAAUUCUGGAGCUGAAAAAUGCAAUUGACAUACUGAAGAAUGCAUCAGUUUUGAAUAGCAGAGUUCAUCAAGCAGAAGAAAGAAUCAGUGAGCUUGAAGACAAGCUAGUUGAAUAUGUUCAGUCAGAGGAGACAAAAGAAAAAAAGAAUAAAAAACAAUAAAACAUGCCUCCAGGAUCUAGAAAGUAGCCUCAAAAGGGCAAAUCUAAGAUCUGGCCUUAAAGAAGAGGUAGAGAGAGAGAUAGGGACAGAAAGUUUAUUCAAAGGGAUAAAAACAAAGAUUUCCUUAACCCUAGGGAAAGAUAUUAAUAUCCAAGUACAAGAAGGGUAUAGAACACAAAGAAGUAAACUACCUCAAGGUAUUAAUAAUCAAACCUCCAAAGGUCAAGGAUAAAGAAAGGAUCCUAAAAGGAGCAAGAGAAAAGAAACAAACAAUAUACAAUGAAGCUCCAAUAUGUCUGCUUUUCAGUGGAAACGUUACAGGCUAAGAGAGAGAGGAAAGACAUGUUUAAAGUGAUGAUGGAAAAUAACUCUUACCCUAGAAUAGUAUAUCUCUUGGAAAUGUCCUUCAAGCAUGAGGGGGAAAUGCACACUUCCCUUGAGAAACAAAAGAUGAGGGUUUUCAUUAACAGCAGACCUGUCCUACAAGAAAUGUUAAAACGAGUACUUCAUUCAGAAAGAAAAGAAUAUUAAUGAGCAAUAAAGAAGCAUUUGAAGGUACAGAACUCACUAGUAAUAGUACAUACGUGAAAAACACAGAAUAUUAUAAUACUGUGACUGUGGUGUGGACUUUUAUGUAGAAAGACUAAACAAUGAAGCAAUUCAUGCGUAGACUGGCUGGAGGGAUUGAAAAACAAGACUCAGUAAUUUGUUGCCUACAGAAAACACACUGCCUAUGAAGACUCGCAUACACUGAAUAUAAUAGGGUGGAAAGAGAAACCAAAAAAAGGGCAGGAGUCACUAUACUUUUAUUAGACAAAAUAGAUUUCAAGACAAAAUAGAUUUCAAGAAGAGACAAAGAAGGUCACCAUAUAAUGAUACAGAGGUCAAUUUAGCAAGAGAAUAUGAUAAUUUUAAAUAUAUACGCACCCAGCAUUGGAGCACCCAAAUAUAUAAAGCAAGUAUUAUUAGAGCUAAAGAGAGAGACCUCAAUUCAGUAAUAACUUGAGACUGCAGCACGUCACUUUCAGCAUCGGACAGAUCUUCCAGACAGAAAAUCAACAAAGAAACAUCAGACUUAAAUUGCACUGUAGACCAAGUGGACCUAAUAGAUAUUUACAGAACUUUUCAUCCAAUGGCUGCAGAAUACAUAUUCUUUUCCUCAGCACAUUGAUUGUUCUCAAGAAUAGACCAUAUAUUAGGCCACAAACAAGUCAUAAGUCAUUAAAAAAAAUUGAAACAAUAUCAAGCAUUUUCUCUGGCUAUGAUGCAAUAAACCUAGGAAUCAAGAACAAUAGGAAUUUUGGAAACAGUGCAAAUACAUGCAAAUUAAACAACAUGCUUCUAAAUGAGUUACUGAAGAAAUUAAGAAGAAAAUUAAUUUUUUUUAAACAAAUGACAAUGGAAACACAACAUACCAAAACGUGUGGGAUAUAGCACAGACAGUACUAAGAGGAAGUUUACAGCUAUAAGUGCAUACAUCAAAAAAGAAGAAAAGCUUCAAAUAAACAAGCUCCAACUUAACAAUGCAUCCUAAAAAACUAGAAAAGUAAAAGCAAAUCAAACCCAAAUUAGUAGAAGAAAAGAACAGAGCAGAAAUACAUGAAAUUGAAAUGAAGAAAACAAUAUAGAAGAUCAGUGAAACAAAAAGUUUGUUUUUUGAACAAUUAAACAAAAUUGAGAAGACAGCCAUUGACAAAUCAGGAAGUGAGUCAUCAGCCAUUUGACAGCCAAUCUCCUGGUGUCCUGAUUUUGGACUUCUCAGUCUUCAGAAUUGUGAAAAACUAAUGUUUGUUGUUUAAGCCAUUUAGUCUAUGGCCCAAACGGACUAAGAAAUUGGGACUUGAGGUCCUUAUACACAUUCUCUAGGUCCACCUGGAAUCUCAGAGGCCCUGAAACACUUACUUAAGAAGCUGUGCUUUUACUAUUGAAUCAGCAGUAUGAUCUUAGCCUUGGUAACAGUAGUGUAGUAAAGACCAGAGUCUUGUUCUAAUAUAUACACCUUGGCUGGCAUAACUAUAGAAUAGAAUAAUUCUUCUUGCCUCCCCUUUUUUGUUUCCUCUCUGCACCUUACGGCUAUUUCUGAUAAAAAUAACCAUACGGUGCAGAGAGGCUGCAUGCUGGAAGGGAUAGUAAGGAGCUGAAGAUUCCACAAUUUUAUAGUUUUGAGCUCAUCAAGAAGUUCUUCCUUGUUUUCCUUUGUGAGGGGUUUUACCUGCAAUUCUCUAAUCCAAGAAAUGUAGGAAAUAGUUAUUACAAUUUUAAAGGGAAUAAGAAUGAGGAAAUAAACUUUGUAAGCAGGAUUAAUUGUAGGAUUUUCAAUGUAAUAUAAUAUAUUAUCAUAGCAAAAGCAGAGGAUUAAGGAUCAAGAGACUUUAACUGUAGUCCCACUCUGCCAUUGACCAGCAAAGUGACUCUAUGGACCUGAUUUAUUCAUCAGUACAAUGGGGGAUUUAAAAUAUUCUUUCUUUGCAGUCACACAUUGUGUGAUUCUACCAUGGCUCUCACCACUCUUGUUAAAUAAAGCAUUCAAUCCUGAGCUAAACUCUGAAUCCUUAGUACUGCACUUGCUUUAAAAUAUAUUUAGCUACUUCUUUAAAAAAUGAGAAAUAGCAUGUGCAUACCAUUCUGAAGCCACUGGGUUUUAUAUCAACUUGUUCUUGACAGUUUUAUACUUAAAAGACAACAUAUAUCAAGCGGAUGGUCCUCUCUGUAACUCUUGACAUAUUUUACAUCAUCAUACCAAUGCAUUUUCAGCUGCUUAUGCCAAUGCUACAGUGGUAGUGAAGGUCUUAAAGUGUCCUUGGUUGACUUAAGCAAAAUGGAGUUUUCUGUGCUUCUAUAGCACUUUGUAUUAAAAAGUAUAUAUCUUAUAGUGAGUCUUGUGGGUAGAUGACUGCAGUCAGUGAUAGAAGAAAUGUAUCUUUCUGCAGGACACAGGAAUCAGUACUCAAAUUGUGUAUGUAUGAGUACCCUUGAAAACUCUAAAGGGCACUGUGUUUUCCAGUGACAGUGGAGAUUAAUGCUCAAUAUUGCAUUUGAGUAGCACCAAUUUAUUAAAAUACAGUGUAGAAAAAUUAGGUAGCCUAGCUGAAUCCUAAAUUAAGACACUUGGUGAAGUCUAGGUGUUUUCCAAGCUUUAGUCUGAAUUAAGCCUUGUUGAUGCCAAUAACUGUUAUGUUUUUUCUAUA
rnacentral:lncRNA from 10 species